UUCACUAUUAAAGGAAAGAAUUAGUCUACUAAAUUUAAGAUAAGUAACAUUGUGAAGGCUUUGGUGAAAGGAAGGUAUUUCAUUCUUAAUUUCUGUCAUCUUUAUCAUUGCUUCUACCAAGCUUAAUAGUGUGCUCGAAGUGUAGACCAAGUUGGUUUUAUUAACAUAUAUCGCACCUUGCUUAUCUUAAUAGUGUCUAUCUUUUAUCAUUUUUAAAACUAAAAAUUAUUAAAGUUACCUCCUUAGCAUCACUUGCUACAAAUAGUUUUCCUUCAUACUCAGCUACAUCCAUAGUUCAAAUCUCUCCAUAAUCUCGAGAAGAAGAGUGAUGGCUCAAAAGAUUCCACACUAACUUC
rnacentral:lncRNA from 1 species